GCUGGCGACCAUAGCAAGAGUGAACCACCUGAUCCCUUCCCGAACUUAGAAGUGAAACCUCUUAGCGCUGAUGGUAGUGUGGGAUUACCCAUGUGAGAGUAAGUCAUCGCCAGCU
rnacentral:rRNA from 1 species